rnacentral:rRNA from 1 species
ACGUCAAGUCCUCAUGGCCCUUACACGCUGGGCUACACACGUGCUACAAUGGCGGUGACAGUGGGCAGCCACUCCGCAAGGAGGAGCUAAUCCCAAAAAGCCGUCUCAGUUCGGAUUGUUCUCUGCAACUCGAGAGCAUGAAGGCGGAAUCGCUAGUAAUCGCGGAUCAGCAUGCCGCGGUGAAUACGUUCCCAGGCCUU